rnacentral:rRNA from 1 species
ACUCCUACGGGAGGCAGCAGUGGGAAUAUUGCACAAUGGGGAAAGCCCAUCGAUGCAGCCAUGCCGCGUGUGUGAAGAAGGCCAUUCGGGCUUGGUAAGACACUUUCAGUAGGGAGGAAGGUAGUGUAGUUAACACCUGCAUUAUUUGACGUUACCUACAGAAGAAGCACCGGCUAACUCCGUGCCAGCAGCCGCGGUAAUACGGAGGGUGCGAGCGUUAAUCGGAAUUACUGGGCGUAAAGCGCAUGCAGGCGGCCUGUUAAGUCAGAUGUGAAAGCCC